rnacentral:rRNA from 1 species
ACGGGAGGCAGCAGUGGGGAAUAUUGGACAAUGGGGGCAACCCUGAUCCAGCGACGCCGCGUGAGUGAAGAAGUAUUUCGGUAUGUAAAGCUCUAUCAGCAGGGAAGAAAAUGACGGUACCUGGCUAAGAAGCCCCGGCUAACUACGUGCCAGCAGCCGCGGUAAUACGUAGGGGGCAAGCGUUAUCCGGAUUUACUGGGUGUAAAGGGAGCGUAGACGGCGAUGCAAGUCUGAAGUGAAAGCCCGCGGCUUAACUGCGGAACUGCUUUGGAAACUGUAUUGCUAGAGUGUCGGAGAGGUGAGUGGAAUUCCCAGUGUAGCGGUGAAAUGCGUAGAUAUUGGGAGGAACACCGGUGGCGAAGGCGGCUCACUGGACGAUAACUGACGUUGAUGCUCGAAAGCGUGGGGAGCAAACAGGAUUAGAUACCCUGGUA